GCUGUGGCGGUGGCGAUGGUGGAGGUGGUGGUGGUGGUGGUGGUGGACGGGGCGGUAAGGAAUGAUGAGGCUGCGUGGUGGUGGUCACACAGACACAACAUUACCGUAUAAGGCCGCCGCUGACCACGCGAGACUCGGGAGCAAAUGUACCAACAGCUGGCAUUAUUCUCAUCUCCAUCAUCUGCAUUCAUUCUGCGUAUCUAGCCUGCGCCAUAGCGGGUUCGCCUCCUGUGCUGCCAAUAGUGAGGCGAGGAGUGGUAUUAGGUGAUACGUCCACACACACGCACGCUUCAUGACCUGUAAGCAUGGGUGUUGCCCCCGUCAGGUGCUGAGUCGCCAGGAGCAGACGAGGGUGUGUCCCCAUCAUCUCAGGGACAGAAGGUUAGUGGAUGUGGAUGGCAGGGUGUGGGAGGCUGUGGGUUUUUGUGAUCACGUGCCAUAUUCUCAAGCGUCUUGGUAUUUUAUUUCGAUUAUAAUUGGCUGUAUCGGAAGUUAGGUACUGGAGGAGGUUUUCAAGGGUUGUUUUCACGGUUGUAGUGAUAGUUAUACAGGAAUGCUACUUUGUCAAAGAAAGAAACAUUGUGGUAACCUGAAUUUCUUUUGUUCUCAUGUUCGUAACCAAACAUAUCACACAGACAAGCACAGCUCAGCCAUGCACCAGUACCUACCUUUCCCCGCCAUACUAAAACCACUGCUCUCUGCGGCCUUUGAAGGUUGUUUUAAUGAGAGGACAUGAACGUUUUAGACUACAGGCCCACAUCUAAGGGGAAAUUCCUUUGACAUCUCACUCAAGGAAAAAAAUAAUAACUUUCCUGUUAUCAGGCACGCAGAACAGGUCUCAUGCAUGACUUGGACACACAUGGCUGGUUUUCCUACUGACAACGUAGAAUCCUUACUAACUUACCAAUAAAACAAUGAAAACGUCUUUGAAAAAAAAGCCUCAUUAACUUCCACUAGGACAUACAUGGCUGGUUUUCCUAUUGACAAAGUACAAUUCUUACUAAAACACUAAAAACAUAAAAACACCCUUGAAAAACCACAGUACCUUCCUCUAGAGUUUACCAGAAGUGCUUGAGAGAAGACGCUGAAACGUUUAAGAAUUCGAAGAAGGUAAAACUCAGAGCCUCAAGGAAUAGUUCAAUCUUGCCUCGUGUUGAAAUAUUACAUCUGAGGCCGCGGAUGUGUUCCCUGUAGCCGCCGUAAUGACGCUAUUCACCCCAGGUAAUUAACGCACCUGUUAGAAGUCUCCAGUCACGUGGUUGGCCGGUAAUUGAAGACGCGAUGCCGAGACAGGGCUAUAAAAGAGUUGCUAAUGUCAUGUUUCAUUGUGUUCACGACUUUAUUUGGCGAGCACUGAGAGGUUAGAGUCGGCUAAUGUGUUUCUCCUCCGUGAGCGGCAAGGCUUGGAGGGAGGGACGGAGGGACGAAGGGAGGGAAAAAAACACAACUCGUUAAAAAAUGAAAAGUCAAGUCUCUCUUCGUCUCUCUCACUGUGUUGGUAGAUUGUACAAUAGUGCGUCGAGGGGCUGGCCUGUAAAACUGUCUGAUGGUACAUACGAUAGUGCUGACUGGUGAAAAGCCCGCGAAUUAAUGUGACUUGGAGAGAGAGAGAGAGAGAGAGAGAGAGAGAGAGAGAGAGAGAGAGAGAGAGAGAGAGAGAGAGAGAGAGAGAGAGAGAGAGAGAGAGAGAAAUUUCAUUCACCGACCCUAAAAAAAAUACAAAUAUACACAAAAGUUUACCUUAACCCAUGUUCCAUUGCAUUAAAACUUCCAUAAACGUAAUUUAGAAACGCUGUAGCACUGGU